GGCUUAUUAGUGUAGACAUCAACUGGUAACGGCGAGCUGAGCUGAUCUCCUGAGCAUAAAAGUAUCCAACGUAUUGACGGAAGGAAAAUUCCGAUAGACGGGACAGUUCUUUGUUGAAGGUGUUAAAGCAAAUAGAGGGUAUAGCAAACAAGAUGAACGCUUACCAUUUGUUGUUUAUGCUGAUCAUUGUAUCUGCAAUAUCAUCAACUUGGUCUCAGUAUUACUUUGGCAACAAUGGUGGGUUUAAUACAUAUGUAGAAGAUUACGCAGAUAAUUAUGAAUACGGUUUCCAGAAUUACGGUUUCCGGAACCAAUAUAAUAGAUAUUUGAAUAGGUUCCCUUAUAUGGGCUUAUUCAGAUCUUUUCGACCAAUGUUAACCAAUAAUUAUAGAGGAGAAUUUGGCGGAUACGA